UCCUACGGGGGGCUGCAGUGGGGAAUAUUGGACAAUGGGGGCAACCCUGAUCCAGCCAUGCCGCGUGAGUGAAGAAGGCCUUAGGGUUGUAAAGCUCUUUCGACGGGGACGAUGAUGACGGUACCCGUAUAAGAAGCCCCGGCAAACUUCGUGCCAGCAGCCGCGGUAAUACGAAGGGGGCUAGCGUUGUUCGGAAUUACUGGGCGUAAAGCGCGCGUAGGCGGUGAUCUUUGUCAGAGGUGAAAGCCUGGGGCUCAACCCCAGAAUUGCCUUUGAAACGGGAUCGCUAGAGUCCGAGAGAGGAUGGCGGAAUUCCUAGUGUAGAGGUGAAAUUCGUAGAUAUUAGGAAGAACACCGGUGGCGAAGGCGGCCAUCUGGCUCGGUACUGACGCUCAGGCGCGAAAGCGUGGGGAGCAAACAGGAUUAGAUACCCUGGUAGUC
rnacentral:rRNA from 1 species